rnacentral:lncRNA from 1 species
AACUCCGAUUAAAUCUGACACCGGAUUCGUUAGGAUGCGAAUAUCAAUAUCAAAAUUUAGCAUUCGAUACAUAUUCUAUCUGAACGCUUGCAUUUGAAAUAAAACAGACCGUCCUUAAAGCAAGUGGCAAAGGGCUUGAUGGUUGGUACCCGAGACCCAAAUUCGAAUCCUAGUUGAUUCACAUUUCAAGCUAAGUUUAUUUCUAAAUGAAAUAAACGAAACGGGUAGCGUGCUACCUAUCUAUCAAAAUAAAUAAAUAAAUAAAUGGAUGUGAUCAUGGUUUCUUAAAAAAUUCAACCGUUUUUACUCCUAAGAGAUAAGAGGGAUAUUAAUAUAUAUUGUAGAAAAAUAAAGUGGUUUUCUCUAAGAAUUUCAUGUUAAAGUUAUAUUUAUAUUUAUUAAAAUAUUAAAUUUUAUUGAGUAAAAUAUAGAUAGAUGAAAUUUGAACACUAGUAUGAACCUUUAAUUAUAUUUGUAUCUUAUUCACACAAAUUUUACUUUACAUUUAUAUAUAUAUAUAUGGAAUUAUGCUACUAUACUAUCAAUAAUACCAAGCCCUUGAUACUAUAGAGUUUUCGGCCGUUGGAUGAAAGGAUGUGCGGUUAGGAUGAUAGUGGUCCCCUAGGGUUGAGUGGGUGGUUCGUUUAAAUAGUAUAAUCUAACGGGUGGAAAUGAUCAAAUGGUAGAUCUAACGGUAGAAAACUUAAUAGUACCAAGGAUUUGGUACUAUCAAUAGUAUAGUAGCCGAACUCUAUAUAUAUGCAUAUUAAUAUAUAUUACUAUCCAAAUAAUAUCCAAACACAAAUCUGACUUGUAUCUAAAUCAAAAUCCAUUUUAAGCGGAUACGGUAACAAAAACAAAAACUUAGCAUCCGACACAUAUCUACAUCCGAAAUCACAUCCGAAGAAAUAUAUAAAUGCGGAUGCAGUUUUAUUAAACAUUUGACCGCAUUCGACCAUUUUCAUUCCCAAUGACAAUGCAUGAGGUGCAUCCUAUACACAAUAUUUUUCCUAAGAUACCUAGGGCUCUCUUUAUUUGCACAUACAUAUAUAUUCUCUUCCAUGUACAAAAACAUGUCACCUGCCCACAUGUGCAACUAAUCUAUAUAAACAUAUAUGUUCUCUUUUGCCUAUAUCAUAUCUCCUAAAACUUUUCUCCCAUGUUGAGGCCUAGUCUUAAGAUGAGAAAAAGACCAUGUUUGCAUACAGUGGGGAGGAGAAGGAUGAUCUACCUGAGGAAGAACAAAACUUUGGUUCUAAGAAAACUUAGAGAGCUGAAGAGGAUCAUCCCCGUGCGCGGCGAGGUCGGGGUCGACGCGGUGCUUCAGAAGACGGCGGAGUACAUCUGCUUCCUGAGGUUGCAGUUGUUGGUCCUCAAGAGCUUUUCAUGCCUCUAUGGUGUGUAAUUAUAUAUUCUCAAUUCUCUUUGUAUCAGCAUGAAGUAACUCACACUUGUAGGAACUAAUUAGUUAUCUCUAUAUGUGUGGUGUGCAUGUGUGCCUCUUUCAGAUAUAUAAAGAUCUCUCUCCGCUUUUUCUACGCUCUUCUACUCUUCGAAUACCGAAAACUUUGUAAAGUGCUUGCGUCUUAAUCGAUUCCUUGUGUUAAUUUAUAUGCUAAAGAGGGCUUUUUGAAGAGAUUUAAUAAAGGAAUUAAUAUAUUUCUUGUGAUCUUCUACUAUAUACACCACUUAAUUAUCUCAUCAAAGAGUAGUUUCUUGUAGGUGUAGUUGCUUGUAUGGAUCAAAGCAUCAUGCAUGAAUCAUUAAAGAAAAUAAAUUAAUAAGGGUGUUCUAAUAUGUGAAAUGUUCUCUAAUAAAUAACUUACUUGUUUUUCAAUCAAAUUUGUAAGAAAAUUAAUUUACUGUAACAUCUAAUCUUUUUCAUUAAAUUGGCAGAGAUCUC